rnacentral:sRNA from 13 species
GCAAAUCCGCCGCUAAAUCCGGAAUCAGGAGCAAAUUUUCAGCCUUUCGCGCUGUAGAGCCCUAUGCCGCCCAGUGGGCUACUCCUUCACCACUUCUGAUUCAAUUGCAGUUCAGCCUGCAAUCUGCAAUCAUCAUCUGAAAUGACGUCGUCGCCUCGACAAUUUAUCCUGUUUUUAUAUUGAGCGCCAUUUUGUUACGAACUGCUUUCUUUCCUUAGUGGCAGUGCUGCUAGCUCUGGCUUUUUUCAGGGCAGAGUUUUCCGGAGCAUCGAUAACUAUCGAAGUCUCACGCCUCUACAUACCUACGAUCUCCUACAAGCAGACAAACAGAAAAAGGUAAACAAGAGAAUUAAAUUUACAUAAACGACGAUAUCUUCAAAGUUCAGCUGGUCGCAGAUGCUAUGACCAUGCGCACCCACCCGACCUAGGAUGCCCUAAGGAUUUUGCGGAUUUAGCUAAUUUUGCAUCACCCAUUAUCAAUACGUCGAUGUCGACGACCAGACGACCAGGACAGCUCCAUCUUCCCUACAGUGAUCACUCACUCGAACAUUUCGCCCUCAUCAGGCAGCGAUCACCCUUGAUCGUCGACUGCUUUUUAAACGGUAUAAGCAACAAGUUCAGGAAUCCUCUAAGGUCUACAAAUCACCGUAGAAAAUUGUCCCGCAAUUUUCGGUGCUUAUAAUGAGUGCAAUACAAUAGACGUAUUCACAUACGCAGGGUCACCUAAUCCUGACGAGCUCCAGUGGAUGCGAACUAAACGUGUGAAGUUGCUUCCCCUGUCAGACUAACUAACUUUUCGCGACCCAAAUUUAGUGCAGUUGAACGCGGUUGGCGGCCGUUGAAAACAAUUGUGGCGGUCGUCGCCUUUGGAUUGUCCAAGGAAUCUACGGGAGUCAAGGGAGGUUGCCCUGGAAGACUCCUAAUCCAACGAACGUGGCCCUCCCUGCGCUCAGCUAUUCGAAUGUUUGGAACUGACUCACCGGCGGAAUCGGGAUCGCCUCGGGGCAGAUGGUGACGCCCCAGUGGACGAAUAAGUUCCCGUCGGUAUGGCUGCGAUUGAGUUAUGAUUUUCAUUUAUGGUCUCCGCCAUAUUCCUAAUCCUCUCCCGACUUGGGUCAUUGGACAUAAUCCAUCUGUCUUAUAAGCAAUCUGUUUAAGAUAACAGACCACCACAUCUCAUAUAAUCGUCCACUACCAAAUAGAUCCUACGCUUUCAUAAACGACCUAAUAAAUAAAGUCCAAUCACUUAAUAUGAAA